UAUGCCUCAUUGUAAAAAUAAAGAGUACACUAGCUGUACAUGAAUCAGUGUGAUUAGAGUGAUCACAUAUGUAUGCAUAUAGAUAUAUUGUGAAUAUAGGAUACGAUCGUUUAUUAUUAAUAUUAAGAGAUGCUGUUGUUUAUAAGAGUCAAGAAAUAUAUUUUCUUGAAGUAUAUUUUUAUUAAAUUUUUUAAUAUUUAUGAUAUUACAAUACUAAUUCUAUAAAAUAUAAUUAUCAACGAUUGACAUUUAGCGAUCAUUUGCAAAGGUUGUUUUUCCAAUUUCGAAAAAUCGAUCUAAUUUACAUUUUCUGAAAAUUUUUAUUUUGCACAAACUUUGCAGAUUUAGAAUUAAUAUUCCGAACUUUGCAUAAUUUAAGAACUUCCUUAUGAAUCAAGACAAAAUCCCGAUUAAUUAAUGCAACACUACCAUAUUUAUUAUUAACUAUAAACAACAAGUUACAUUCUAUAAAGAUGAAUGUGACAAAGUUCACAUACGCGUAGUUUUUCUCUAGUUGUUAAAUAUGCAUGUUACUUGGCAUGUGCGACCCUAUAUCAUUAAACGUUGAAUGUCUUGUUGAUUAUUCAAUAAAAACAAGUAAUAAGGUCAUAGCAUUAUCAUCAAAAUAGAGAUUGGGAAAGACUUAAGAGGAGGUAAGAUGAUCGACUAUUGACAGAAAUGUGAGAUAUCAAUUUACUGUCAGAAUUAGAGGAUGAUUAUCUUACUAGAUGAUGGCCAGUGGCUCGAUCACUGCGUGUGUAUAUGUAAGAACUAGAAAUAGGAGUGUGAAGAUAAUACCGGGAAUUCACCAGAAAACUAAGUUAUGUCUCCACUGAAACAAAGAGGAAUCUUUUGCCAUAUUACGCUUCUGCAUGUUCCAAAAUACUUACAACAAGCAAUACUUAUAGAUAUAUUUUAUCCAUAUUAAAACAACAUAAUCUGAGGAGCAUUCGGGUCUUGUUUCGAUUUAAAGGUUAUUUGUUGCAACAGCAAUAAAAACUUUCUUGGUGUUGCUUCAGUGGAAACAAGGCUUAAGCUAUGCUAUGUUAUGGAAACCUUCAAUAAUUACCAGAAUUUCGGAACUCAGGUUCUGCAAUUAUGCAGAAGCAGAAAUGAUUCUAUUCCAGAAGACUGAGAUCUUAGACGUGCCGAACGUAGAAAAGGACAACACGAGUGAAAGGGAAAAAGGGACUGAGAGUUUGAAGUGUUUGGUAACAUAUAAAAACUUUCUUACCGUUGAUUGUUGAUCAAGGAAGCUUCUACCAAUAUGUUUGUUACAUUUUUCUGAUUAAAAUGACAUCAAACACGAUACAAUUUUGAGCAUAUUUACGUAUUUAAUAAAUGAUAAGCAUAUUAAUACGUAAAUAUAAUUCAUGUGUUUGGUCUCGUUUUAAUCAGAAAGAUGUUAUAAAUAUGUUAGUAAAAGUUUGAUUUUAAAAAAGUCGAAAAUAAAACAGUUUCACUUUUGAAUUAGUACCUACAUACAUCGCCUGAGCGAUAUAUGAUAUUGGAUCAUAUUAUACUACUCGACAGGGCCGGCGCAAGGCAGAUUCAGCGUGUUUAUCGAAACUCGGCCCUGCGUUUUGAGAGGUUUCGCAGUCUACGAAAAUUACCCAAUUAAAAAACACCGAUUUUGAUUAACUUUUUACAGAAUGAUGAUAUCAUUAACAGAUGCAAGACAUUUUUUUUAGUAGCGAUGAUUCAGUUUAAAGGAGUGACGAAAGUCAUCAAAGUUCAGUGUAACUCAAUAAAAUCCUCAUAUCCUGGAAACUACUUUAGAUUUUGUACUUUCAUUGAAUCUUUUGCCCCUUGAAAGCGAAUUAUGAAUGCGAAAAAAAUUACUUGGAUUUGUUUUAAAAAACUGCUUACAAAGAUAGAGAUAAGACUCCCCAAUUUUUUGAAGUCUGUCGACGAGUCGCAGCUCCUACGAACUUGCAUAGGAACUGGGCAUAGCAACGCCUGACAUUUAUUAGUGGUUGUGUGUCAGUUGCCGUCUUGCGGUUCAUAUGUCUUAAACAAAAACGCAUGAGGCUAUAGCAUUGUUACGGUCUUUGAUGCUGAACGUUAGUCAAUCUCACGACGCAAGGACUGUGUGAUCAUUACGUUUUGGUAAAUUUAAGACGACGAAUAUUUUUCAAAAUUACAUUAUGGUAUAAACUAUGACAUAUACAUUUUCAAAACGUUUGAUUUCUGAACCGCUAUGGCUAGCAGAGAUAGAGAUCGUGGACAGAAAUACUUAAGCGGGACAGAAAAACUGAAACAGAAGAAGCAGCGGGACGAUUAUAUUAAACAGCAAACAAACAACAUUUUGAAGUAUGUAAUUGAAGCUACUAGUCAUUAAAGACAGCCAAACGAAGGUAAAAAACAUACGGCAAUGAAUUAGAUCCCUUUGGAAGAGGAAAACCAAGAGUUGAAUACACCUGUGAAGGAAAACAAAGAAGACAUCAACGAAACUGAAUUGGACGAAAAUGGAAACAAUAGAAAAACGAGCGAUUGUGAAAUUCAUCAAGAAAAAGAUAUUGAAAAUGUGGAAAUUGAAGCACAAAAAGAGGAAAACAGAAAUUGCGACGCAAUAAGAAGAGCAAAAUAUUAUUCCAUUUUAUUGGAUUGUACACCAGAUGUGAGUCAUCAAGAGCAAUAUUAUCAGCUGUUCUUCGUUAUGUCAACAUAACAGACGAGGAGGUUGAAAUCAAAGAACAUUUUAUCAAAUUUGAAAUAGUUCACGAUACAACAGGAAAAGGACUAUCUGAAACUAUCAUGCUCAUUCUGGAUCAGUUGGGAAUAAAAAUAUCCGACUGUCGCGGACAAGAAUAUGAUAACGGUGCCGAUAUGAGAGGAAUAUAUCAAGGAGUACAAGCAAAUAUAUUACGUUUAAAUCCUAAAGCGUUUUACAUACCAUGCGGUAGUCACAACUUGAAUUUGUUAUUGAGAGAUAUAACAAAAUCAUUAACCCAAGCACUAUACUUUUUUGGUGUUUUACAAAAGAUUUACACGAUAUUUGCAGCAUCGACAUCGCGUUGGGAUGUUCUAAAAAAACACGUUGAAAAGAUUACACCUAAACCAUUAUCAGAAACUAGGUGGGAAUGCCGUUUUGAUAGUGUAAAGGCCUAUAUAUAUAUACGAUUUCAUGUUCGCCUGAGCAAUAAAUUGACAAUUGAGAUUUUGUCUAUAGUCGCAAGAUAAAUGAAUUUGAAUUUAUUGCCAGUCUUAUCACUUGAUACGAAAAACACCUCAAAUACGGAAAGAAGGCUAAAAAGGAAACACCCGGUAGACCUCACAAAGAAUAUAACCUAGCAAACGGAGGAUGAUAGCCCGCGGGGGGUAGCCACCAACGUGUUAAUAUAACUGUUAAAAAAUUCAAAUGUCCAAAAUGGACAAAUUGUGAAUAUAAAGAAAUAAAUACAAAAAAAAGAAGGAAAAUUGAUACGAAAUAUUAUAAAAAAUUAACAUCGUUAGCAAAGCAUUGCAAAAUCAAAAGAUGCAAAUCGAUUUGGCCACGAAGCAUCCGAAAGGUCUUAACGCAUUCUUUGCGGAAUACAGAAACGAAAGAUUUAGCAAAGCUACGAUCGCAGCAAAUGAAGUUGCAAAGGAAAUGGACAUGACACCAGAUUUCAAAUCAUCGUACAGGGGCAAAAAACGGAAAUUAUUCGAUAAUGAAAGACGCGAUGAAUAAAAAGGACACGAUAAAAAUAAUAAAUACAGUCAGUAUCCUUUAAAAAUAGAUUCGAAUUAUAUACAAAUCACCAAAACAUUUUUGGUUUUCUAUACAUGAAUAAGAUUGGAAAUUUAGAUAAUGAAUAUUUAUUAAAGUGUUGUCAAGACCUUCAUUUAUAUUUGGAAGGAGAUUUCGAUGGCAUUGAAAUGUUUAAAAAAAUUAAGAUGUUCCUGAAAAUAACGCAAACCAAUUAUUCGUCUUUAGAUUCGAUGAGUUACAUCGUAAAGAACUAUCUCUCGGAAGCAUACUCGAAUUUAUUAAUCGCAUUACAAAUUAUGUAAUAUAUGUAGUAUAUAUGUUAUAUGUGUAAUAAAACAUUAUCUGCGAUCAUCGAUAAACCAAGAGAGAUUUUCAUCUCUGGCUAUUCUAUCAAUAGAAAGUGAAAUAGCAAAUUCAAUCGAUUUUGGUGAUGUUAUCAAAGAUUUGUCGUCGAAAAAUGUGAGAAAAAUUAUUUAAUAUUAUUAUUGGACUGUAUUAAUAUUUAAUAUUCAUCUUAUAAAAAAUAUAUAAUAUGUAACAGCAUUUGUAAAUAAAAUUGUAAAAUUUAAGUGUAGGAUUUGAAUGUGUAUUCAAGCCCCGGAAAAUUUUUGAACCGGCCCGGCAAACGGUCACGCCGGCCCUGCUACUCGACUGCGGCGAGCUGUCGAGCUUCACGGUGCGUCAAGAGGAACCUCCCCCCGUGGUGGAGAUGACGACCAUGCAAUUAGAGAACAAGAAGUUUAUGUCUGCGGUUAUCGAAGGUUUCUUCUACUACGAUUAACAAUAUUUUUCGAAACAUAUACAUAUGUGAAAUCGUUUCCACCAAAGGUAAACUAAAUUGUACUAUUAGCUGUGCUAUUAGUUUAGCUUUUGGUGGGAACGGUUCGGUACAUACAUACAUAUAUUGAAACAAAUAUUUUUAAAUAUAAGAUAUCAUAGCAUAAUUAAGCUUAGCUUUCCAAUGAAUCUCCGGCCUUAAAGGAACUAAAACAAUCUGUGUAUACAUGACGUCAAGGAAGUGACAUAGAUAAAUCAAAAAAGGAACAGGGAAAUAUCGAAACACUGAUGCUAU
rnacentral:lncRNA from 1 species